rnacentral:tRNA from 1 species
AGCUCUGCAGUAUUUGCUUACGUUGGAUUGCAAAUCCAAAGCAGGAGACUAAAUUCUCCCGGGGCUU